rnacentral:rRNA from 1 species
GGACUACAAGGGUAUCUAAUCCUGUUUGCUCCCCACGCUUUCGCGUCUCAGCGUCAGUCACCGUCCAGAGAGCCGCCUUCGCCACCGGUGUUCCUCCUGAUAUCUACGCAUUUCACCGCUACACCAGGAAUUCCACUCUCCUCUCCGGGACUCGAGUCCGUCAGUUUCCAAUGCCCUUCCGGGGGUGAGCCCCGGGCUUUCACAUCAGACUUAGCGGACCGCCUACACGCCCUUUACGCCCAGUGAUUCCGAACAACGCUCGCACCCUCCGUAUUACCGCGGCUGCUGGCAC